UACGUAGGGGGCAAGCGUUGUCCGGAUUUAUUGGGCGUAAAGAGCGUGUAGGCGGUCCGGUAAGUCCGCUGUGAAAGUCGGGGGCUCAACCCUCGAAUGCCGGUGGAUACUGUCGGGCUAGAGUGCGGAAGAGGCGAGUGGAAUUCCUGGUGUAGCGGUGAAAUGCGCAGAUAUCAGGAGGAACACCUAUUGCGAAGGCAGCUCGCUGGGACGGUACUGACGCUGAGACGCGAAAGCGUGGGGAGCGAACAGG
rnacentral:rRNA from 1 species